rnacentral:rRNA from 1 species
UACGAAGGGGGCUAGCGUUGCUCGGAAUCACUGGGCGUAAAGGGUGCGUAGGCGGGUCUUUAAGUCAGGGGUGAAAUCCUGGAGCUCAACUCCAGAACUGCCUUUGAUACUGAAGAUCUUGAGUUCGGGAGAGGUAAGUGGAACUGCGAGUGUAGAGGUGAAAUUCGUAGAUAUUCGCAAGAACACCAGUGGCGAAGGCGGCUCUCUGGGACGGUACUGACGCUGAGACGCGAAAGCGUGGGGAGCGAACAGG